CGCGCGUGCAGGCCAGCAUCAGCUUGGCAGCACGACCCGCGUUGUUUUGCUUCCUUCUCUGGUUCCUUUCUUUUCUUUACUGCUGACAGCUGGGGCCCAUGAAUCAUCAACAACCUCCAGCCAAAGUCCAUCUCCUGAACUCGUUCGUAACAGACUCCGCAAAUGUCCCGAUUUCUUGGCCGAUUCUGUUUCGAUUUCGUGCCUCCUUCUCCACGAAAUUCCUCUAUAAAUACCUCAUAUUCUCCUCUGUUUUUGGCCCCAAAAAUCCCGAUUUUUGUGCGCCGCCAGGCUGCCAAAUUUGCUCACCGGAGCUCUGAGCUGCCGCCGCCAUUGUAGCUCGAGAUCGAAAGCAUGGAGCCGCCCGGGAUACGUCGCCGGAGUAUCGCUGGAGUUCAACGCUUCUACAGUUCGAGUUGAUUCCGGCGACAGAGAGUUUAUUAUACCGCACACGAGUACCGCCGUCCGAAGGAAGCCGUCUACAUUGCCAUUACAUUCGUGCAUCGCGACCACAGGAGGAAGAGAAGCACGCCGUCGAGCACAACAACAGAUUUCCCGCGUCAUGCUGUUUGUCGUCGUCCACUUCACCGAGCCCGUAAACCACCGAAGCAGCAUCGCCGAGGACACCCACGCGCAGCAGCAUCGCCCACAUUCUCAGCAUGGUUGAGCACUGCAGAUCGUGCGGAGUGUAACACGAAGAGCGCAAACGCCAACGACAAAUAAGGCAAGUUGAACUUUUGAUCAUAACAGAUCUAUUGUUUUCCUAUAUGUGCAGUAGGAUUUUAGUACAAGUACAUGUGUAGGAUUGUUAUUGAUGGAUUGUGUGCUAUUGCUAUGAAACCCGCGCAGGAUAGCCAUAUGUUUAUUAUGAUUGGAUUCAUUGCUCGUCAACCUAUGUUUGAUUGCUUGGAUAAGCUUACUUUAUAAGUGGGUGGAAUAUCAAUGUCAUGGGGUAUGUAUUAGUUGAAAGGUUAGUUUUGAGUUGACAAAACAAUUAUUGGAUGAAUUGGGGCGGAUAUGAAUAGUACUUGAGAAGGUUGUAGGUCGACCGACAUGGUAAGGGCUUUGAGCCGGACUUACUGACAUGUAUAGGUCGAGUGGCAUGGUAAGGGCAGAAAGCCUGACUUACUGACAUGUACACUAGUUGAUGGGAGGGUGGUUUGGUAAGGGCGUUGAGCCUGACUUACUGACAUGUACACUGGUAGUGAGUCGCAUGGUAAGGGCGUUGAGCCUGACUUACUGACAUGUACACUGGUGGUGGCAUGGUAAGGGUAUUGAGCCUGACUUGCUGACAUGUACACUAGUGGAAUGGAGAUUGGCAUGGCAAGGGCAUUGAGCCUGACUUACUGACAUGUGCAAUGAAGAAAAGGAGAUUAGCAUUGUAGGGGCCUUGAGCUUGGCCUACUCACAUGUGAACUAUAGGAGUUCGGAGAUUAAAAUCGCUGGGAUAAAACUAGGACGAUACUAUGAUUGCUUUGUGCAAAAUAAAAGUUUGAACCCUCACCUUGAAAAUGUACUUGAUAGGUUUGUUAUAAGUCUCUAGUGAUACUUGCCAAUACAAUUCCAAAUGUAUUGACCCUGCGUGGCUGCAACGUUUUAUGUUGCAGAUAUUCCAAUGAACGAGUGAGGUUCGAUGGUUAGGGUUACGAGUCUAUACUCGACAUGCUCGCCUGUGGCACAUGGAGACGAAGGACUCCAUGCUAUUAUGGAUCGUUGUGAACUCUGAUAUUGAGCUAGCCUGAAAUUUGUAAGUUAUUAUGUAAUUUUGGAUCAUGCGAUGUAAUAAAGACCUUUGUUUCUUGGUAUUA